rnacentral:lncRNA from 1 species
AUGGAAAAAGCAAGAGAGUUCCAGAAAAACAUCUAUUUCUGCUUUAUUGACUAUGCCAAAGCCUUUGACUGUGUGGAUCACAAUAAACUGUGGAAAAUUCUGAGAGAGGUGGGAAUACCAGACCACUUGACCUGCCUCUUGAGAAACCUGUAUGCAGGUCAGGAAGCAACAGUUAGAACUGGACAUGGAACAACAGACUGGUUCCAAAUAGGAAAAGGAGUACGUCAAGGCUGUAUAUUGUCGCCGUGCUUAUUUAACUUCUAUGCGAAGUACAUCAUGAGAAAUGCUGGACUGGAGGAAACACAAGCUGGAAUCAAGAUUGCCGGGAGAAAUAUCAAUAACCUCAGAUAUGCAAAUGACACCACUUGUAUGGCAGAAAGUGAAGAGGAACUAAAAAACCUCUUGAUGAAAGUGAAAGAGGAGAGUGAAAAAGUUGGCUUAAAGCUCAACAUUCAGAAAAGGAAGAUCAUGGCAUCCGGUCCCAUCACUUCAUGGGAAAUAGAUGGGGAAACAGUGUCAGACUUUAUUUUUGGGGGCUCCAAAAUCACUGUAGAUGGUGAAUGCAGCCAUGAAAUUAAAAGACACUUACUCCUUGGAAGAAAAGUUAUGACCAACCUAGAUAGCAUAUUCAAAAGCAGAGACAUUACUUUGCCGACUAAGGUCCGUCUAGUCAAGGCUAUGGUUUUUCCAGUGGUCAUGUAUGGAUGUGAGAGUUGGACUGUGAAGAAGGCUGAGUGCAGAAGAAUUGAUGCUUUUGAACUCUGGUGUUGGAGAAGACUUUUGAGAUUCCCUUGGACUUCAAGGAGAUCCAACCAGUCCAUUCUGAAGGAGAUCAGCCCUGGGAUUUCUUUGGAAGGAAUGAUGCUAAAGCUGAAACUCCAGUACUUUGGCCACCUCAUGCAAAGAAUUGACUCAUUGGAAAAGACUUUGAUGAUGGGAGGGAUUGGGGGCAGGAGGAGAAGGGGACGACAGAGGAUGAGAUGGCUGGAUGGCAUCACAGACUCGAUGAAUGUGAAUCUGAGUGAACUCUGGAUGUUGGUGAUUGACAGGGAGGCCUGGCAUGCUGCGAUUCAUGGGGUCACAAAGAGUUGCACACGACUAAGCGACUGA